rnacentral:lncRNA from 1 species
AGAUGCGUGAGAUUGCUGAGGCCUACCUUGGCACCACCAUCAAGAAUGCCGUUGUCACUGUUCCUGCCUACUUCAAUGACUCCCAGAGGCAGGCCACCAAGGAUGCUGGAGUGAUUGCUGGUCUCAAUGUCAUGCGUAUCAUCAACGAGCCGACUGCUGCAGCUAUUGCCUAUGGUCUUGAUAAGAAGGCCACCAGCGUUGGUGAGAAGAAUGUCCUCAUCUUUGACCUUGGAGGUGGUACCUUUGAUGUCUCCCUCCUUACCAUUGAGGAGGGUAUCUUUGAGGUCAAGGCCACAGCUGGUGACACCCAUCUUGGUGGUGAAGAUUUUGACAAUCGUAUGGUCAACCACUUUGUGCAAGAAUUCAAGAGGAAGAACAAGAAGGAUAUCACUGGCAACCCCAGGGCUCUCAGGAGGUUGAGGACAGCUUGUGAGAGGGCAAAGAGGACCCUGUCCUCCACUGCCCAGACCACCAUUGAGAUCGAUUCCCUGUAUGAGGGCAUCGACUUCUACUCAACCAUCACCCGUGCCAGGUUUGAGGAGCUCAACAUGGAUCUCUUCAGGAAGUGUAUGGAGCCUGUGGAGAAGUGCCUCAGGGAUGCUAAGAUGGACAAGAGCUCUGUUCAUGAUGUUGUCCUUGUUGGUGGCUCCACUAGGAUCCCGAGGGUGCAGCAGCUCCUGCAGGAUUUCUUCAACGGCAAGGAGCUUUGCAAGAACAUCAACCCAGAUGAGGCUGUUGCUUAUGGUGCUGCUGUCCAGGCUGCCAUCUUGAGUGGUGAGGGCAACGAGAAGGUCCAGGACCUCCUCCUGUUGGAUGUUACCCCUCUCUCUCUCGGUUUGGAGACUGCUGGUGGUGUCAUGACCGUUUUGAUCCCAAGGAACACCACCAUUCCCACCAAGAAGGAGCAGGUCUUCUCCACCUACUCCGACAACCAGCCUGGUGUGCUCAUCCAGGUUUAUGAGGGUGAGAGGACCAGGACACGUGACAACAACCUGCUGGGGAAGUUUGAGCUCUCUGGAAUCCCUCCUGCUCCCAGGGGUGUUCCACAGAUCACUGUUUGCUUCGACAUUGAUGCCAAUGGUAUCCUGAACGUGUCUGCUGAGGACAAGACCACCGGGCAGAAGAACAAGAUCACCAUUACCAACGACAAGGGCAGGCUUAGCAAGGAGGAGAUUGAGAAGAUGGUCCAGGAGGCCGAGAAGUACAAGUCAGAGGAUGAGGAGCACAAGAAGAAGGUGGAGUCCAAGAACGCGCUGGAGAACUACGCCUACAACAUGCGCAACACCAUCAAGGAUGAGAAGAUCGCCUCGAAGCUCCCGGCAGCGGACAAGAAGAAGAUCGAGGAUGCCAUCGACCAGGCCAUCCAGUGGCUGGACGGCAACCAGCUCGCUGAGGCUGAUGAGUUCGAUGACAAGAUGAAGGAGCUGGAGGGCAUCUGCAACCCCAUCAUCGCCAAGAUGUACCAGGGCGCUGGCGCGGACAUGGCCGGCGGCAUGGACGAGGACGAUGCUCCCCCGGCUGGCGGCAGCGGUGCUGGCCCCAAGAUCGAGGAGGUCGACUAAGCGCGAAAUUUGCUAGUGAUCCGCGCUUCAAGUUAUCUUAUUGCAUUAUUAGUGUCUCUUUUAUGUUGUGUUAAAAAACUUUGCUGCUAU